UACGUAGGCAGCAAGCGUUGUUCGGAGUUACUGGGCGUAAAGGGUGUGUAGGCGGUUAUUUAAGUUUGGUGUGAAAUCUCCCGGCUCAACCGGGAGGGUGCGCCGAAUACUGAAUGACUUGGAGUGCGGGAGAGGAAAGUGGAAUUCCUGGUGUAGCGGUGAAAUGCGCAGAUAUCGAGAGGAACACCUGCGGCGAAGGCGGGUAGCUGGGCCGACACUGACGCUGAGGCGCGAAAGCCAGGGGAGCGAACGGG
rnacentral:rRNA from 1 species